GUCAGGGGAAAUGGGUCCGGGGCGGUGUUAGGGGCCCCGCGCGGAGAGCGGUCAUUAUUCUUAUUUGAAAUUUGCAAGCACUUCUCCCGUCUUCCUCUUACGUUGAGAGACUGCAAUUAUCCUGAGUGAACCAACUUCUGAGCUUACACCCGAAAGAACGGAAGGCAGGGACUCAAACAGAUGCCUGUCUACCCAAAUUGAUCGCAGCGCUGUUCGCAAUAACCAAAAGAUGGAAGGAAACAACCCAACUGUCCAUCAGCAGGGGGUAGACAAACAAAAUAUGGCUGUUCCAUACAACAGACCAUUAUUCAGCCGUAUCGAGGAAGGAGGUCCUGACACCUUCCACAACAUGAUGGGUCUCGAGGGCACGUGUAAGCGAAAUAAGACAGUCACGAAAGGACCAAUGUCAUAGGACUCGGCUUAUACAACGUCUCCAGAGAAGUCAGAUUCAUAGACGCAGAAAGGGCAGUUUCAGUUUGGGAAGAUGAAGAGAACACGUCGGGACUCAAGUCACG